rnacentral:rRNA from 1 species
UACGAAGGGUGCAAGCGUUACUCGGAAUUACUGGGCGUAAAGCGUGCGUAGGUGGUUUGUUAAGUCUGCUGUGAAAGCCCCGGGCUCAACCUGGGAAUGGCAGUGGAUACUGGCAAGCUAGAGUGCGGUAGAGGGGUGUGGAAUUCCCGGUGUAGCGGUGAAAUGCGUAGAGAUCGGGAGGAACACCAGUGGCGAAGGCGGCACCCUGGACCAGCACUGACACUGAGGCACGAAAGCGUGGGGAGCGAACAGG